GAUGCUCUCCUCCAUCGACAGAGUUUCUCUGUGGUGUCUUUCCUCUUGCAGUUCGUGCUCCAUCUCUUCUGUGCAUCUCUGUGCUUCCUGCAGUAAACGCUCCAGACGGCAGACAGUGGUUUGGUGCUCUUGCAUUUCUUGCUUUUGAUCUUU